GUGGGUCUGAUAGAUCGUAGAGGGUAAUGUGAAGUUUUGCUAGUGAUUGGUUAGGUUGGUACCAGAAAUACUGCAGAUGCUUCAGAUAUUUGUGAUGAACAGGAUAUUUCUUACCGAUGGUACCAUGAGUGGCAUUACAGAUUUAAGAAAAGCUAUGAAUUUUUCAAUAGUGACCAAUGCAGUAGAUAGAACAAGAACGUGCUCAUCUAUGAGACAGAGCACAAUUGAAAUAUCAGAGAAUAUAGGUUACCAAAGAUGGGUUUCUCCUGUAUGGAAAUGUCAUGGUACAUCAACCAUUGAUUUUGCAGCAGCUCACCAAGUUUAAUUCAGAGGUUCUUGCUAUAGUUCAUUUCAUCCCUGCCACACCCAUCUGCACUCUGUGUGAAUGCACAUGCAGUUGAGCCCAUACUUGAUUCUGUGAUGUCACUAUUGACAUCAUGUCAGCAGAAACAGUGGGUCUGUCUGUUGUGUGGGCGGAGUGAUGAGGGGAAGGCACUUCAGAAGCCCUCCGAAGUGUGCCAAAUUGACAGGAAAAGUUAACAGAUUGCCACAGCCUGUUAGCUUCAGCAAGGGUAAUGACCAUUCUUAAUUAGAUUUUUUAUUCAUUUCUUUAGCCCAUCCAGGCAAAUGCUGUGCUGUUACUGUGAAAUAGGCCAUUCAUCCCAGUCUUCUUUAUACAGUCAUCUGUUUAUGUUAAUUACUAAGUUACCUCUACAGUUUAUCAGUAAAUAAUCCACAGUCUACAAAACACUCCUAAUAAGUUCUUCAGUAGUUGUAGCGACAUUAUUGAAAUCCUGGAUAGGAAACACAUGAAACAGACAUGUACGAGCAUGAGACAAGAAGUGGAAAACCUUUCAGGAACAAGCAUUUCUCUGAUAGACCCAUUUUUUAUUGUAAUCGCAGUUUUACAACACUGUAUUGUUUAUUCCUUUUGAUAUGCCUAUCCCCAGUAAAAUGUUUUCGUAAAUUAUUGUAUUUAACAACUGUGAGAAGAAAGAUAGGGAGAGAGAUGGUUGAAAAGUUGAUUUGUGCAGAUGCUGCCACCCAUUACAUAUCUGAUGGAUUGUGUUACAUGCUGCUGUAUAACGCAAAAGGCUCAAGAAUCGACAUUCAGGCGGAGAUGAGUCAGCAUGAGGAUUCAAGACUCAUACAUGCCUAAUUCCUGGAGUGGCAUCAUUCGAGGGAAGCUGUUCCUAGUGAGCAAGUUCCAUGCGGUGCCUUCGCCUCCUGAACUAUCCGCCUGCUGUGUGAAAGGCCAGAUCAUAGUCUGUGCUGGGCGUGUACAGGAGGCUUCUGAGAUGCUGUAGGCUCUGGAUGCAAGAAUUUGAUGACAAGAGGAGGUAAACGAAGUUAAUUUUGUUUCCAUGUUGCGUUAUAUUAUAUUACUUUAUCAUCACAUUUUCAUUCAGUUUACAUAGUUUCAGUGACACUCAAGCAUUAGUAUUAAGUAGCAACCAGGAAAUGCAUGGAAAUUUAUGAAUGACAUGAAAUAAUAGUUCUGAUGCCUUUUAAAAGCCAGGGGACUAGGAUUCAAGGCGAGAGCACAGUGAUACGUGUGUUAUCCUCACAAGGCUGAGUGGACCCCUUUCCAGACCCACUAACUCAGAAAAUCUGGUAGCGCCAGAAAUUGAACCCAGGACCUCUGACCACUAGACCACAGAGGCAGUCAUAAAUAAAUCAUUGCUAUUUUAAUUAGCCCACAUGUGAAAUGUUUUAAUAUUUUUCAACCCAGCAUUUACAACAGGCACAGAAAUUAUCUGGAAGUAUGUCAGAUGAACAAAAUGUAUAUACUCGUACAAUUAGUCUAAGCAUGGCAGUGUUCAUUAUUUCCAUGAAAAAAUACAAAACACAUUUAUGAAAACUAUGAGAUGACAACAACAAAUGACAGUAUUUCAGUUGUGUUGUGUCAUCAUUUGGUAUUAGAAAGUUGACCUUUAUGUGGAAAAGCCCUGUAGACAAUUAUUAAUAUGCUUAUUUUAGGAAGUUGUUAUUCCAAACUUCAGAAUGUGCAUAUUAAGUGAAACUGUGAUCUGAAAAUCUUUCUCAGGGGCUGUAAUGUGUAAGGCUGAUAACACUUCUGGGAAACUGCAGUUGCCA